rnacentral:rRNA from 1 species
UACGGAGGGAGCUAGCGUUGUUCGGAAUUACUGGGCGUAAAGCGCACGUAGGCGGCUAUUCAAGUCGGGGGGUGAAAGCCCGGGGCUCAACCCCGGAACUGCCCUCGAAACUAGGUAGCUAGAAUCUUGGAGAGGCGAGUGGAAUUCCGAGUGUAGAGGUGAAAUUCGUAGAUAUUCGGAAGAACACCAGUGGCGAAGGCGACUCGCUGGACAAGUAUUGACGCUGAGGUGCGAAAGCGUGGGGGAGCAAACAGG